AUAAGACGUAGGGCCUUGUUGAACAACAAGGGUGUCUUCCUGCUGGCAGACAUUUUGAAUUCUGUUUAUGUCUGUGUUUAUGUCUGUGUUUAUGUCUGUGUAUAUGUCUGUGUUUAUGUCUGUGUUUAUGUCUGUGUUUAUGUCUGUGUUUAUGUCUGUGUUUAUGUCGGUGUGUAUGUCUGUGUUUAUGUCUGUGUGUAUGUCUGUGUUUAUGUCUGUGUUUAUGUCUGUGUUUAUGUCGGUGUGUAUGUCGGUGUGUAUGUCUGUGUUUAUGUCUGUGUUUAUGUCUGUGUUUAUGUCUGUGUAUAUGUCUGUGUUCAUGUCUGUGUUUAUGUCUGUGUAUAUGUAUGUGUUUAUGUCUGUGUUUAUGUCUGUGUUUAUGUCUGUGUAUGUUAUAUAGCUGAGUCUACCUUUAAGUUGUCGUAUAACAGACGCAUGGAAACGGAUGAAAUUGGAUUCGCAUUUAUUAUUGUAUGUUUUUGUCAGUCGAAAGUUCAACUCAAGUCAACUAUUUCCGGAGGAGUUUCAUACGCACAAAGUCCGUCAUCUUGUGUGUUUUCUUUCGAAAGACGAUCAUCUCCGUUGUCCAUUUUCCAUCAACGAAAGCCCUCCAUUGAAAAACCAUUGGCUCAAAGCCAUAGUUUUCCUCACACAAACUUCCUGUCUGGCCACAGCCUUGGUAAUUGAUCAGGCUCCGGUUCCCCAAAAGCAUCCUGAGGCUAAGUUUAUCCUAGAACCAUAGGAUCCUUGAGAUGUUUUUGGGAAACCGGGCCUUGGUAGAUUUCUCUCGUCCUCUUGCCUGUUGUCCAUCCAUCAUCAAAUCAGAUCCCCCUACUUCCUUUAAAAACUGGCCUUCAUGUGCUUUCAUAUAUCUACUUCACAAAUGCAGUAUUUAUGCAAUACAAAUGCAGUAUUCGCUGUAAAAAAAAAAAAAAAGUGGUGUGUUUUUUGUUAUAUGGAAAUUACAUUGACAAGUAUUUUUCAUGGUGCUAACGUUUAGCCUUUAAAAAAAUAAAUAUAGUAAUGUAUUGCAAAUGUAGUUUUAUAUGACCAUCUAGAAUAUUGUCCUGUAGGUUUGUAAUUUAUACUUUAAUAUGAUGUACUUUUGACUUAAAACGUUUUGUCCCUUUCUGUAGUUGUGUUGUUCAUAAGGUAACUUUCCCACGAGUCCCAGGUGUUCCAGCAACCCCGGUUGGAAGAUUCCUGGAAUCAGGAAGUAAUAAGCAGGACAUCUGGGAAAUAUAGGAAUCCUACAACUGGGAAUUUUGGAAAAGUUACCAGAUUUUUUAAAAGAAAUGUGCAACCCUAGUUUUGUAUUGUUUGUGUUUUAUUAGGAUAAAUUCUGUAAUUGUUGUCAUCAGUCUGUUUUAACACCAGUGAACCUCAUCAUACAGGUAUAUUAUAGUGACCAGUAGAGCUCUGGUUAAAAGUAGUGCUCUAUGUUUUGGGGAUAGGGUGACAUUUGGGAUGCACUAUGGUUGUACCUAAUAAGUACUGCACCUGAUACUUGGCAAUGGUAGAGAACAAUAAACGUCAGAUUUCCAAACGAUAUGGCUCUUUUGGUACCUGGUCAUUUGAGUGUAUAGCAUUUGAUGAUUCAUACUAUCAUUAGCUAUAGAAUGUACAUUUAAACUCCUCAUGAUUAAACCAUGAGAAACCUUGUGGAUAUAGAGCCAUGACCUCCAUCCUGACCUAGGGAACCUAGAGGCUUUACUGCCGUUUCCAGCCUCAGACACACACACACACACACACACACACACGUCCUCUUUAACCCAACCAAUUAGGGCAUGUACUCAAUAUGCUGCUUAUUUUAGCUGCGGCGUGCUGAGAUGAGUGUGUUUAAGUUUUAGUCCGUGUCUAACUAUAGCUGUAAUGCUGUAGUCAGAAAAGGCGUAUUUAGGUCACAUUCAAAUAAACAACCGCCAGAGGCUUAGAAUACACAUCAGGCCUACCGUAUAUUCAACAAGCCCCAGAUCUGCUGCAUGUUCAUUCAACAGGCCCGAAACAGCGAGGCGCAAACUGAACUUGUCCAAUGGGGAAUCUACAUCGUUGACUUCCGUUGCAAAACGUUAUGCACUAAUGAAUACGACCCUGGUCAGUACAUUCAUUGGAGAAGCAUCACAGAGGAUAUAGACUGGCAGAGCAACUUGAGUCCGUUUCAACUUCCUCUGCUUCCUAUUGCUUUCUCUUUCCCUCCUCCUAUUCCCUCUCCUCCCAGUCUCCCCCCCCCCCCCCCCCCCCCAUCACCUCCUCCUCCUCCCUCUCCUUCUCUCUUCAAGGUGAUUGAUUAGGAUCCCCAUGGCGACAGCUGGU
ensembl:lncRNA